rnacentral:piRNA from 1 species
UGAAGGAACUGGGAAAGCUUGGUGGCAG